UACGGAGGGGGCUAGCGUUGUUCGGAUUUACUGGGCGUAAAGCGCGCGUAGGCGGCUUGGAAAGUUGGGAGUGAAAGCCCGGGGCUCAACCCCGGAACUGCUCUCAAAACUUCCAAGCUAGAGAUCUGGAGAGGAGGGUGGAAUUCCAAGUGUAGAGGUGAAAUUCGUAGAUAUUUGGAAGAACACCAGUGGCGAAGGCGGCCUUCUGGACGGUGACUGACGCUGAGACGCGAAAGCGUGGGGAGCAAACAGG
rnacentral:rRNA from 1 species